GACGAACGCUGGCGGCGUGCUUAACACAUGCAAGUCGAACGGAAAGGCCCUGCUUUUGUGGGGUGCUCGAGUGGCGAACGGGUGAGUAACACGUGAGUAACCUGCCCUUGACUUUGGGAUAACUUCAGGAAACUGGGGCUAAUACCGGAUAUGAGCUCCUGCUGCAUGGUGGGGGUUGGAAAGUUUCGGCGGUUGGGGAUGGACUCGCGGCUUAUCAGCUUGUUGGUGGGGUAGUGGCUUACCAAGGCUUUGACGGGUAGCCGGCCUGAGAGGGUGACCGGCCACAUUGGGACUGAGAUACGGACCAGACUCCUACGGGAGGCAGCAGUGGAGAAUAUUGCACAAUGGGCGGAAGCCUGAUGCAGCAACGCCGCGUGCGGGAUGACGGCCUUCGGGUUGUAAACCGCUUUCGACUGUGACGAAGCGUGCGUGACGGUAAUGGGUAAAGAAGCACCGGCUAACUACGUG
rnacentral:rRNA from 1 species